rnacentral:rRNA from 1 species
UCGAGAAUCUUCGGCAAUGGGCGCAAGCCUGACCGAGCGACGCCGCGUGGAGGACGAAGGCCUUCGGGUUGUAAACUCCUGUCGAGGGGGAAGAAGGGGUCGCAAGGCCCUUGACUGAUCCCUGGAGGAAGCACGGGCUAAGUUCGUGCCAGCAGCCGCGGUAAGACGAACCGUGCGAACGUUAUUCGGAAUCACUGGGCUUAAAGCGCGUGUAGGCGGGGCGGAACGUCCGUCGCUGAAAUCCCCCGGCUCAACCGGGGAAGUGGCGCGGAUACGACCGCCCUGGAGGGACGUAGGGGGACCUGGAACUUCCGGUGGAGCGGUGAAAUGCGUUGAGAUCGGAAGGAACGCCCGUGGCGAAAGCGAGGUCCUGGACGUUUUCUGACGCUGAGACGCGAAAGCCAGGGGAGCGAACGG